rnacentral:rRNA from 1 species
AGAACGAACGCUGGCGGCGUGGUUAAGGCAUGCAAGUCGAACGGACUCCUGGAUGGGUAACCUGAAGGGAAGUUAGUGGCGAACGGGUGAGGAAUACAUGGAUAACGUACCCUGGACACGGGAAUAGCGGCGGAACUUCGGUUCCUUUGCGAAAGUGCCGGUAAUACCCGAUGACCCCGCGAAACCGCAUGGUUUUGCGGGCAAAUGCUCCGGCGGUCCGGGAUCGGUCCAUGUCCUAUCAGCUUGUUGGUGAGGUAACGGCCUACCAAGGCUCCGACGGGUAGCGGGCGUGAGAGCGUGUACCGCCACAUCGGAACUGAGACACUGUCCGGACACCUACGGGUGGCUGCAGCAACGAAUAUUCCCCAAUGGACGCAAGUCUGAGGGAGCGACGCCGCGUGCAGGAAGAAGUCCUUCGGGAUGUAAACUGCUGUCUGGGGUGAGGAAUUAAUGACCAACCCCGAAGGAAGCACCGGCUAACUCCGUGCCAGCAGCCGCGGUAAUACGGAGGGUGCAAGCGUUGUUCGGAAUUACUGGGCUUAAAGCGCGUGUAGGCGGAGUAUCAGGUGCCGUGUGAAAUCCCCGGACUCAAUCCGGGAACUGCAGGGCAAACCGGUACUCUUGAGGCAGGUAGAGGUGAGUGGAACAACUGGUGGAGCGGUGAAAUGCGUAGAUAUCAGUUGGAACGCCGGAGGCGAAAGCGAUUCACUGGACCUGUUCUGACGCUGAGACGCGAAAGCGUGGGUAGCAAACAGGAUUAGAUACCCUGGUAGUCCACGCCGUAAACGAUGCGCACUAGGUAUGGGAGGUUCUGACACCGACCGUGCCGAAGCAAAAGUGGUAAGUGCGCCGCCUGGGGAGUACGGCCGCAAGGCUA